rnacentral:rRNA from 1 species
GUAGGUGGCAAGCGUUGUCCGGAAUUAUUGGGCGUAAAGCGCGCGCAGGCGGUUCUUUAAGUCUGAUGUGAAAGCCCACGGCUCAACCGUGGAGGGUCAUUGGAAACUGGAGGACUUGAGUACAGAAGAGGAAAGCGGAAUUCCACGUGUAGCGGUGAAAUGCGUAGAGAUGUGGAGGAACACCAGUGGCGAAAGCGGCUUUCUGGUCUGUAACUGACGCUGAGGCGCGAAAGCGUGGGGAGCAAACAGGGAUUAGAUACCCUGGUAGUCCACGCCGUAAACGAUGAGUGCUAAGUGUUAGGGGGUUUCCGCCCCCUUAGUGCUGCAGCUAACGCAUUAAGCACUCCGCCUGGGGAGUACGGCCGCAAGGCUG